rnacentral:rRNA from 1 species
GUUACUUCGGUACAUCGGUGACAGGUGGUGCAUGGUUGUCGUCAGCUCGUGUCGUGAGAUGUGGUUAAGUCCCGCAACGAGCGCAACCCCUAUUGUUAGUUGCCAUCAUUCAGUUGGGCACUCUAGCGAGACGUGCCGGUAAUAAACCGGAGGAAGGUGGGGAUGACGUCAAAUCAUCAUGCCCCUUAUGACCUGGGCUACACACGUGCUACAAUGGUUGGUACAACGAGUUGCGAGUCGGUGACGGCGAGCUAAUCUCUUAAAGCCAAUCUCAGUUCGGAUUGUAGGCUGCAACUCGCCUACAUGAAGUCGGAAUCGCUAGUAAUCGCGGAUCAGCACGCCCGCGGUCGAAUACGUUCCGGGCCUU